CUUGGUCAUUUAGAGGAAGUAAAAGUCGUAACAAGGUUUCCGUAGGUGAACCUGCGGAAGGAUCAUUAUCGAGUUUGAAAGGAGUUGAUGCUGGCCUUCCGAGGCAUGUGCUCGCUCUUGUCAGAUCCAACUCAACACCUGUGCACAUCAGAGGGCGCGAGUGGUCUGUCCCUUGCCAACGGGCCUCGAUUCCUCCGUGGGUCGAGGCUUGGAGGGGUGGAUCCUGGCGACCUCCUUCACAUCACAAACUCUUGAACGUAUCCAGAACGUGUAGCAGCCCUCGUGUGGGGCAGUCUUAAUUACAACUUUCAACAACGGAUCUCUUGGCUCUCGCAUCGAUGAAGAACGCAGCGAAAUGCGAUAAGUAAUGUGAAUUGCAGAAUUCAGUGAAUCAUCGAAUCUUUGAACGCACCUUGCGCUCCUUGGUAUUCCGAGGAGCAUGCCUGUUUGAGUGUCGUGAAGUCUUCAACUUUGUCUCGCUUUGAAAAUUGCGAGGCGAGGCUUGGAUUUGGGGGUUGUUGGCCUCUUGCCUCCCUUGCCGGGGGCUUGAGGGGGGUCGACUCCUCUGGAAUGCAUUAGCUCGAGGUUGGCUUCGGGCGGUCCGUGGCGUGAUAGGUUUUUGUUACGUCUCGAUAAUUCCGUCUCGGAGCCGUGUGGCUUCGGCUUCGAAUCGUCCCUCUUGGGGACUGACUCCAUCUUGAAUCUGACCUCAAAUCAGGCAGGACUACCCGCUGAACUUAAGCAUAUCAAUAAGCGGAGGAAAAGAAACUAACAAGGAUUCCCCUAGUAACUGCGAGUGAAGCGGGAAAAGCUCAAAUUUAAAAUCUGGCGACCUUGUCGUCCGAGUUGUAAUCUGGAGAAGCAUUUUCUGUGUCGGACCGUGUACAAGUCUCUUGGAACAGAGCGUCGUAGAGGGUGAGAAUCCCGUCUUUGACACGGACUGCCGAUGCUAUGUGAUGUGCUCUCGAAGAGUCGAGUUGUUUGGGAAUGCAGCUCAAAAUGGGUGGUAAAUUCCAUCUAAAGCUAAAUAUUGGCGAGAGAC
rnacentral:rRNA from 1 species